rnacentral:rRNA from 1 species
UACCAGCAACCCGAGUGGUCGGGACGUUUAUUGGGCCUAAAGCGUCCGUAGCCGGUUCUACAAGUCUUCCGUUAAAUCCAACUGCUUAACAGGUGGGCUGCGGAAGAUACUAUAGAGCUAGGAGGCGGGAGAGGCAAGCGGUACUCGAUGGGUAGGGGUAAAAUCCGUUGAUCCAUUGAAGACCACCAGUGGCGAAGGCGGCUUGCCAGAACGCGCUCGACGGUGAGGGAUGAAAGCUGGGGGAGCAAACCGG